rnacentral:lncRNA from 1 species
CACAGAACCCGCAGUCCUUCGGAGACUCGAGAGGGUUCGCUCCACCUUGGGCGCUUGGGAGGGCUGCGGGAUCUCAGGUGCAGGCAGCUACAGUGGAGGCUAAAGCAGAGAGGUGCCCUGAAGAAGAUUCUAAAUACAGGGUUACUGUGGCCCUUGGGUCUUCAUUUAGCUACUAAGAAGAUUUGAUCUCAACUGAGUUCCAUCCAUAUCACCUAUUGGC